rnacentral:rRNA from 1 species
AUGACAGUUUAUCAAUUGGAAGAACUGAAGGCCCUUUGGUUUGCUUUUUUUCCUGGAACUGGUCUUUGGGGAAUAACAUCUGAACCAUGGAAAGAGAUGGGUUGGCAAGGAACAGACCCAUCUACAGAUUUUAGGUGGAGGCUUCAUCUCCUUGGAAAAUUUGUUAUUCUUCGCCAUGAUCUAUCUGAAGUAAAUUACAGGCAGGAACCAACAACUGCUUCUUCCAUCAAUUCUUCAAUCUGCAUUCCGUAUUUUUGCUGA